GCCCUGAUGGCUCAAUGGUUAAGCACUCGACUGCUAAUUGAAAGGUUGGUGGUUUCAGCCCACCCAGUGCC
rnacentral:tRNA from 1 species